rnacentral:rRNA from 1 species
GAGUAACGCGUGAGCAACCUGCCUAUGACAGUGGGAUAGCCUCGGGAAACCGGGAUUAAUACCGCAUAAAAUCGUAGAAACACAUGUUUCAACGGUCAAAGAUUUAUCGGUCAUAGAUGGGCUCGCGUCUGAUUAGCUAGUUGGUGAGAUAACAGCCCACCAAGGCGACGAUCAGUAGCCGGUCUGAGAGGAUGAACGGCCACAUUGGAACUGAGACACGGUCCAAACUCCUACGGGAGGCAGCAGCU